rnacentral:rRNA from 1 species
AUAUCAGUCAUGCAUAGCAUAUCAAUAAGCGGAGGAAAAGGAACUAACAAGGAUUCCCUUAGUAACGGCGAGUGAAGCGGGAAGAGCUCAAAUUUGAAAUCUUCAAGGUUUUACCUUGACGAAUUGUAGUUUAAAGAAGUGUUUUCUGUUGAAGUUUUGGUAAAAGUUCUUUGGAAUAGGACAUCAUAGAGGGUGAGAAUCCCGUAUUUGACCAUUAUUUUCAGCUGUGUGAUACACUUUCAAAGAGUCGGAUUGUUUGGGAAUGCAGUCCAAAAUGGGUGGUAAAUUUCAUCUAAAGCUAAAUAUUGGCGAGAGACCGAUAGCGAACAAGUACCGUGAGGGAAAGAUGAAAAGAACUUUGAAAAGAGAGUUAAACAGUACGUGAAAUUGUCAAAAGGGAAGCGUUUGACACCAGUGUUGUUUUCUCGAAAAUCAAUUAAAAAAAGUUGGAUUUUGUGUUGUAUUGACCUUAACAGCUUACUGCACUCUUUUCCUGCUUUUUUUAAUGCACUUUUCGUUUAACAAGUCAACAUCAGUUUCUUUUGUUGUAAAAGGGUCAUUGGAAGGUGGCUUUCUUUUCGGAGAAAGUGUUUAUAGCCUUUGAUCUCUGCAAUCGGAGAGACUGAGGUCUGCAGCGUAGAUCCUUCGGGGUUAGAUACAUUUGUGCUAAGUUAUAACUUUUCAUAGACAACUUGUUGACUAUGUUUUAGUCAUGUAGCUUACUCGCUUAUGCUAUUUUACCUACGCUUAGGAUGUUGAAGAUGUAGCACAUCAU